UACGAAGGGGGCUAGCGUUGCUCGGACUCACUGGGCGUAAAGCGCACGUAGGCGGCUUUUUAAGUCAGGGGUGAAAUCCUGGAGCUCAACUCCAGAACUGCCUUUGAUACUGGGAAGCUCGAGUCCGGGAGAGGUGAGUGGAACUCCGAGUGUAGAGGUGAAAUUCGUAGAUAUUCGGAAGAACACCAGUGGCGAAGGCGGCUCACCGGCCCGGUACUGACACUGAGGUGCGAAAGCGUGGGGAGCAAACAGG
rnacentral:rRNA from 1 species